GGUAGCAGUUAUUGCCCCCUGCAGACCAGGAGGACACAGAUGAAUGCAUGUGCUCUUGCACUGCUUGGAUCUGUGCCGCUCUCCAGGCUCCAGUCCUGCUGCCAGCCCUGCAAUUGCAAUACCAGACCCAACAGGUGGCAAUCACAGCCUGGCCUCUGCCUCAGUGGAGCACCUGCACAAGAGCUUCUGCCUCCGAAACUAUUCCAGACCCAGCAAAGCUGGCAGAAGGAGAGUGCCAGCACUUAACAUGCUGCUCCAUUUCAGCUUUCAGGCCCUUUUCUGAGUGUGAUGCAGUGCUCUGCUCCAUGCCAGGAAUCUGAAAUAGAACAAAGCAGUCUCAAACUAUGUCUGAGACCAUAAUCAGUGAUAUUGUGGGAAGUCAGAAGGAAGUCCUUUGGCUAUCCUAGGAUUUGGCCAUCUUGUUCUGUUUUCAAUUCCAUAUUGGCUCCAGAAGUAAGAAAAAUAAACAGGAAGGAGAGAGAAUGGGAGGGUGUAACAAUGCUGUUAGUGAAGCUGAAGAGUUCACUUAUUUCCAUGGAAACAUUCACAUCCUAGCAACAGCAUAUUGAUAACAAGAUGACAAGGAAAGACAAGAGCUGAUGCCUUUGGCUCAUGGGAAAAUAAGCCUGGAUUUCCAAUUUUUUACCUUUUCAAAAAUGGAUAAGUGUUUAACAAAUAUCUCCAGUCCAUUUUUUUUUUUGUUCUUAAUUGCUUGCACUUUUGUGUUGACACAUUACCUAUUAUGGAAAAUUGAUAGUGUUGAGGUAUUAUUGGCAUUGUCUGUCGGGCCACAUAAAUCGUUAAUCGGCAACAAAGAAACCCAGAGGUUUGAAAAGCUACGUUUUGGAAAGGAGCAGAUUGGUGAGGAACAGCUGCAAAUGUUGCCACUGCCUCUCCGAAGAAGAAUCAAGAAACAGCCCUACAGGGACUUAAGAUUAUGAAAACUGUAAGACAGAAAAGAUGCAGAAAAAACCCACUUGAAGGAAGACAUGACAGACACACUGACAGCAGUUACCCUCCCCACCUACCUCAAAUUCCCGUGAUAUUACUACCUCAGCAUGGAAGUCUGUGUAAUAUCAUGGAACUUUGGAUGUAUGAGGAGUUGCAUUACCUAAAAUCAUCUUUAUUUUACCCAGCGCCACACCUCAUUGGAGUGAGGAUACAUGAGGCUUUCUGAGAUCAGUCUGGAAAGACUCCUUCCACUACUACCACCCUACCCAUAUACGUUACUUCAUGAAACUGCAGAACUUGAAGAAAAAUAAGUUCCAUCCUAAUUCAAAGAUCCCCCUCAGGGAGCUCAUUACAUGGAAAA